UUUAAAUUUGCAACAUCCCAGGAACUGUUGCCGACUCAUUCAUUAUUUUGCACAUGCGGAAACAUAAAACAAUCUCCAUACAACAAAGCAGUGGGAUAGAAACUUAGGAUAAUAUUUUUUUACAAGCCACACCUACUAUACCGUAAUACUUAUGUAUAUAGACUAGUUUAACACCCCAAGAUCCGAUACAAAAAGGUGAAGCUGUUCGAUAACCCACGAGCUAAGCUUCUAUUUACAAGACUAGGGUUCAUUACUAUACUACCCUACUUCUCGAUCUCUCGGGGGUGAGCUGUCACCUUACAUCCAGUCUUGACGGAAAACUCGUAAUUACUUGGAAGAAGAUAGCGAGAGUUCUACUCUUCAUUUACUGCGACCGAUUGUACACGAUCUGGUCUUCCUCCAUCUAGGGACCUGAAAAUUUUUAGCCCAUAAUGGGAUGAGAUCACAUCUUAGCAAGUUAAUCCCCUAAAUCCAGAGUAGGAGAAGGGUACACCCUACAUGCAAUUUAAUCACGUUUCUUACCACUCUUUUAAUGCCAGUAAGUUCAUGCAUAUUAGUAUCAAUUAAAACAUUUCUAAUAGUAUCAAGUUCACACAUCACAGAAAUGCUUUAACAUAAGUAUAUGCAAGGGCAUGAAUAUCGAUGGAAGCAUACAUGCCACAGUCAAUGCAAUAGAUAACAGUCUUCCGGAAAAAUCGGGUAUCACCUCGCACCGUCGAGCGUGGCAAUGUCUACUCUCACACGGCAUUUCGAUUAGGAGCAUCGGUCCAGCAUACACUGCCACCGGCAUCUAUUGACUUGGGACAUUCCCGAAGGAGUAUCAUUUGGCCUCAAGGCUCGUGACGGAAUCUCAUGUCAUGUAUGCGUUCAUUAAAUGCCAUAGCUCAACGCUCAAUUGCCCAAUUUAAUAACAACAUCCAUUAAACAAUUUUUACAGCAAGAAACAUCCCAAACAGUUAUGAAUUUUUACUAACCAGAAUUAACAAAAACUAUCCAAUUGCGCAUUCUCGGGUUCAAGGCCAGAAACCAACUCAUAUGAGUUCAAAAAAUUCUAAAAUUUGAACACGUGCUAAAGGACAUGUAAAAAUAUAUUUUUCAUGAGACACCGAAACCCAGAUCUCUCUAGAUUCGGCUCAGAAAUUCACGCAACCCAGCACAAAAUCGGGUCCGUUCCAGUGAUUUUGUUUUCCCGAAAUCAGCUUGGCUCGGGAUCCGAAACAAGUCCGUUUUAUUUGAAAUUUGAGUAUGUUAAAUUACAAGACAUAAAAAACAACUUUUGUGAAUGCAUCGUUUGAAGAUUCGAACUCUAAAUGUUGGUAAAGACUAGUAGAAUCCUUAUCGGUCAAAAUUUUCAAUGCAGUCUAAUUUUCUGUUUAAAGCAAACGAAGCCAGAAUCAUCUUCUUUUUAGUUUCUAAAAAUCCUGGAAAAAUUAUAUGUUAUACUUGAAGAUGUGUAAAAUAUUUCUUCAGAGGGAAAUUUUUUCAAAAUCGUAACACAUAUUAGUCUCUACAAAAAUAGUAAAUCGCGCACGUCCAAUAAACAGUUUUAAGAAACAGCCCUUGUCUUUGGCCGAAUCGUCAUCUAUGGUUCUUGUCUUGUCCUUUAAACCAUAACUAAGCCUCACCAUGGCUAAUAUAACAUUUCAAAAUAACACCCAUCCAUAUAUAAUAUCAUAUACAUCUUUCUAACUUGUAUGAAUUCCUGAUAGAGGUACACAACCCUAGUUCAAAUUUAGAAGACAACUCACCUAUUUACAACUAACGGCGGCUCUCGUUGAUUGUUGGACAACAACACAGAGACCAGCCUUGAGUCUCUUGAUGGUGAGUUGAAGCCCGAACAGCAACUAGGGUUACCGUUGGGCAACCAUAACAGCAGCACAGAGAGUCAUGAAUUUUUUUUUUGUAGAAGGAGGAAAACAUGAAGCUUGGCUGGCUGGACGUUCCUCUUAGUCACUGGUUUGUUGUCCAAGAGGGGGCAAAAACGGGGAUUGCACGUUUAAAGAAGAAGAAAACAACAGCUUGUACGAUUGAAAAAGAAAAAGGGAAAAAGAAUAAAAUAAAAGAAAGAAAGAAAGGAAAAAGGUAGAAGUAGCCGACGUGCUGUGAAAUCCAGCGGACGUCCACGCGCAGGUAAAGAAUG
rnacentral:lncRNA from 1 species